AUGGCCUGGACUCCUCUGCUGCUCGUGCGCCUCUGUCACUGCACAGGCUGUGCUGACGCAGCCGCCCUCCCUCUCUGCCUCUCCUGGACCAUCAGCCAGGCUCCCUGCACCCUGAGCAGUGGCUCCAGUGUUGGCAGCUACCACAUAUCCUGGUACCAGCGGAAGCCUGGGAGCCCUCCCUGGUACCUCCUGAGGUUCCACUUUGCCUCUAGUAAGGACCAGGGCUCGGGGGUCCCUAGCUGCUUCUCUGGGGACAAAGAUGCCUUGGCCAAUGUGGGGCUUCUGCUCAUCUCUGGGCUGCAGCCCGAGGAUGAGGCUGACUGGGACUGUCUCAACUGGCUUCUCACUGUGCUCUUCACAGUGACACAGGCAGAUGGGAACGGGGGACCAAACAAUACCCUGUCCGAGUCUUAG